rnacentral:lncRNA from 1 species
CCCCGUCAUUUUUCUGAUUUUUUUUAAUAGAUCGUGCCUAGCCAGUGCAGGACACAGAGAAUGUUUGCAGACUGAAUGAAUGGACAACGAAAUGAAUAACUCCAAGCUGAUGAGCAGCGGCAGAGUCAGCCAGGUCAGCCCAACUUCAAAGCCAGAGUUGUCAUGAAUGCUCCAGAUGGAUUGUGGAAAAGACCAAAGUUCAUGCCUCGGCACCUUUCCCAGUGUACAGGACUUAUUGUUGGGACAGAGCGGUGCCUGGCCCUGAAGUUACACAUUGAUCCAGCUCUAAAGGCUUGAAUGCCUCCAAAGAACAGCAUGGAUUUUUCUCUGUGAAUCGCGAGCAUUUUCCCAGUGCUCAACUUAGCAGCUGGUAAUGAUUAUUGCACCCGUUCCCUUUGAAAUUUCAUGUGCGUUUACUUAACUGAGCAUUGCUAAUCUGGAAGACGGGAAUGAGUGAAGAACCCCAUUUGUAAAGAGGAUAACAUGUUAAUGAAAAAAAGCCAGAGGUAUGUAGAGGUGAUAGUAUUUCUACAGAGCUCUGUUCAGUUGAGAUGAUUUAAGGGCGAGCCUUGGCUGGCUGGUCAUAAUAAGGGCCACAUUAUG